UUGCAUAAAUGUUUCAAGUAUCUAACAGACAGCUUACAGUAGAUGUACACAAUGGUUUGCAAUAAGAUCUACUCUCCUUCCUCUGGUUCAAGGAAAAAAAUUAUCUGGAUUUUUGCCACUUCAAGACCAAGACUGCUGCCAUGCUAGAAAAGGGCUGGGGUAAGACAGAGUCUUGCCCUGUUGCCCAGGCUGGAGUAUAGUAGUGCAGUGGUGUGAUCAUAGCUCACUGUAACUUCGACCACCUGGGCUCAAACAAUCCUUCUUCCUCUGCCUCCCAAGUAGCUGGGACUACAGAGCAGGACCCAGGAUGCAAGACCCUAGGCAUCCCCAAGGCCUUCCACUGUCCCCAGGCCUUCCAAAGAGACAGCGGCAGGACCGCACAAUCUACAACUGGAAACAGCAGGAAGUGCUAGAAAAUCACUUUAAGGAGGAACAGUACCCAGACUAUGACACACGACAAGAGCUGGCGGAGAUGCUCAAUCUCAGGGAGUACCAAGUGCAGGUGUGG
ensembl:lncRNA TPRXL tetrapeptide repeat homeobox like (pseudogene)